AAGUCGUAACAAGGUUUCCUUCACCUAUUGAAGCCUUCAGCAGCGACUGUAAAAAAAAUGCGUAGUUUGCUUGCAAGCAAUGCCACUCAAAUGCUGAGACAUAUGAAUCAGCAGCCUUCUAGGCUCACAGAUCAAAUUGUGGUAACCAUUUUCAUGGGCAAGAUAUGACCGGUCUUAACUAGAGUUAGUUAAGAAUCCACGUUCCGUAGGUGAACCUGCGGAAGGAUCAUUAAAGAAUGCCCCGUUUUUUGAAAUGGGUUCUAUUCCCAAACCGUGUAUACAUACCUUUGUUGCUUUGGC
rnacentral:misc_RNA from 1 species